rnacentral:rRNA from 1 species
GUCCGGGCACUUGGUGCUUGGGUGGCGCAGCUACGCAUAAAAUAUCCGUCUGGGGAGACGGCCGCAAGAUUAAAACUAAAGGAAUUGACGGGGGCCUGCCAAGCGGGGGAGCAUGUGGUUUAAUUCGAAGCAACGCGCAAAACCUUACCAGCGUUUGACAUGUCCGGACGAUUUCCAGAGAUGGAUCUCUUCCCUUCGGGGACUGGAACACAGGUGCUGCAUGGCUGUCGUCAGCUCGUGUCGUGAGAUGUUGGGUUAAGUCCCGCAACGAGCGCAACCCUCGCCUUUAGUUACCAUCAUUUAGUUGGGGACUCUAAAGGAACCGCCGGUGAUAAGCCGGAGGAAGGUGGGGAUGACGUCAAGUCCUCAUGGCCCUUACACG